UACGUAGGGUGCAAGCGUUGUCCGGAAUUAUUGGGCGUAAAGAGCUCGUAGGCGGUUCGUCGCGUCGGCUGUGAAAACCUGCAGCUUAACUGUGGGCUUGCGGUCGAUACGGGCAUCACUGGAGUUCGGCAGGGGAGACUGGAAUUCCUGGUGUAGCGGUGGAAUGCGCAGAUAUCAGGAGGAACACCGGUGGCGAAGGCGGGUCUCUGGGCCGUAACUGACGCUGAGGAGCGAAAGCAUGGGGAGCGAACAGG
rnacentral:rRNA from 1 species